GAGGAGAAGAGAUUGCAGCACCUACCUGUUGGGAAGGGGUGCUUUCUCCCUCUCCCUCUGCCCCUCUGUACCUUUCUGGUGAGUGCACCCACCCUUUGGCAAGGUUAAAAAAAAGACAAAAAUAGUCUCUGGUUUCUGUUUGUGAACCAUGCGGAAACUGAAUCUAGGGUAGAACUGGUUGGUGUGUUUCUAGGACAUUUACAGGAGCUCAUCUCUGAUUGGCUGGGCAACCAGAUGCAGAAUCUUUUAUUCUGAAGUAGAAUAUUCCACAGAUCUAGGCUGCAAAAGACUUCUGUGUCAAGGAUACUUCAGCUGGAUAAAUGGAGAAUCAUUUGGCAGCCUCAUUGCUAAUCCUGUGGAUUCAUUUUGGCCGAGUGAGCAGCGUACCGAAUGUGGCACAGAGUCCUCGGUCACUUCAUGUUCAGGAGGGAGAGAGCACCAACUUCACCUGCAGCUUCCCUUCCAGUUCUUUCUACAGCUUACACUGGUACAGACAGGAACCUGCAAAAAGUCCCAAGAUUCUGUUUGUAAUAUCUGCAAAUGGGGAUGAAAAGCAGGAAGGACGAGUGAAAGUCACUCUAAAUACGAAGGAGGGUUACAGCUUCUUGUACAUCAAGGAAUCCCAGCCUGAAGACUCAGCCUCUUACCUCUGUGCCUUGACACAGUGCUUCUCAGGCACCUGCAGCCCAUACCCGAAGCCGUGGCUGGUGCUGCUCUGCUCCCAGCGUCAACAAAGAGCCAUAUGUGCAGAGGAAAGGGCAAAUUCAGUGAAUUACAGGGUUUCAGUAAUUGAGGGACUAUGCAGACGUACAUGA